ACAACAUAUUUAAAUAUGUAUUUUACCAAGCAUAGACUUUGAAUUUGACUCUUAAUUUCUUUGACAUAUUUAAUUUGUAUUUUUUUAUUUUAUUUUAUGUAUACAUUUUCAUGCACUGUCUAUGAUUUUAGGCAGCGUGUGAACGGGACUUUUAUUUUGAUCCGUCAGUGACAUCACAUGGCUGGACCGCUCUCCUCUGGCUCAACAAAGGAGCAAGAAACUGAGAACAUCUGAAAUCUGUGUGACAUACUAUUAUCAAGAUGGCAUUUAUUAAAGAGGAGAUCGAAGACGUGAGCAUUUCAGAAACAUUCAGAGUGAAAAAUGAAGAUGCAGAGGAUGACACAGUUCAGCCAUCCAGCUAAACAAGACUGUCAACAUACUCUCAGCAGUUUUUUAACAGCACAUGUAAGUGUGUCAUGUUCUGUUCAGCUGAUGAUACUUCUCUUCUAUUCUCCACUACGCAGAUGCUGUCACACCCCACAGACUCAUCAUCUGCAAAGAUCAACUGCCACUCAUUUUUACAAAAAUACACAUAAUGAUGGAUGUGAACACAUCACAGGCAGCUGCAAAAAAUGUUUUAAUUGGAACUUUGCCUUUGUUUCUAUUUGUAUUUGUGUGUCUAUUUGUUCUAUUAUAUUUAAUUUACAUUCAAAUGUCGUGUAAUUUUUAUGCUUUCAUGUAAUGAUUUUUUAGAGCAUUGUCAUUUUUGCUAUAAUUUCCCAU
ensembl:lncRNA